GACGAACGCUGGCGGCGUGCUUAACACAUGCAAGUCGAACGGAAAGACCCUGCUUUUGUGGGGUGCUCGAGUGGCGAACGGGUGAGUAUCACGUGAGUAACCUGCCCUUGUCUUUGGGAUAACUUCAGGAAACAGGGGCUAAUACCCGGUAGGAGCUCCUGCUGCAUGGUGGGGGUUAGAAAGUUUCGGCUGUUGGGGCUGGACUGGCGGCUUAUCGGCUUGUUUGGGGGGUAGUGGAUUACAAAGGCUUUGACGGGUAGCCGGCCUGAGAGGGUGACCGGCCACAUUGGGACUGAGAUACGGCCCAGACGCCUACGGGAGGCAGCAGUGGGGAAUAUUGCACAAUGGGCGGAAGCCUGAUGCAGCAACGCCGCGUGCGGGAUGACGGCCUUCGGGUUGUAAACCGCUUUCGCCGGUGACGAAGCGUUAGUGACGGUAACGGGUAAAGAAGCACCGGCUAACUACGUG
rnacentral:rRNA from 1 species